AGUAACCUUUCCGAAGGUUAUUUUAAAAUGGUGAUUCAUAAUAACUUUACAGAUCGCAUAAAAUCUUUUCUUGUAAAGGAUGGCGACAGUUCAUUCAAAUUUCUGCCCUAUCAACUUUCGAUGGUAGUAUAGAGGACUACCAUGGUGAUAACGGGUAACGGAGAAUUAGGGUUCGAUUCCGGAGAGGGAGCCUGAGAAACGGCUACCACUUCUAAGGAAGGCAGCAGGCGCGCAAAUUACCCAAUCCUGAUACAGGGAGGUAGUGACAAUAAAUAACAAUACAGGUCUUGAUAUAAGUCGUGUAAUUGGAAUGAGAGCAAAGUAAACAUAUCAUCGAAUGCAAUUGGAGGGCAAGUCUGGUGCCAGCAGCCGCGGUAAUUCCAGCUCCAAUAGCGUAUAUUAAAGUUGUUGCAGUUAAAGAGCUCGUAGUUGGAUUUUGAUUUAAAAAUAUUUGGUCCACCGUUACAUUUUCAAUGGUGUUGUACUAAUAUUUUUAAAUUCUUUUACUUUUUUAGUUUUCUGCUUCUGCUAUUAAUUUAGUGGAGGUUUGUUUUUUCUUAGGAAAACAAAUACCUU
rnacentral:rRNA from 1 species